rnacentral:rRNA from 1 species
CAGCAGCAGCCGCGGGAAUACGUAGGUGGCAAGCGUUGUCCGGAAUUAUUGGGCGUAAAGGGCGCGCAGGCGGCUUCUUAAGUCUGUCUUAAAAGUGCGGGGCUUAACCCCGUGAUGGGAUGGAAACUGGGAAGCUCAGAGUAUCGGAGAGGAAAGCGGAAUUCCUAGUGUAGCGGUGAAAUGCGUAGAUAUUAGGAGGAACACCAGUGGCGAAAGCGGCUUUCUGGACGAAAACUGACGCUGAGGCGCGAAAGCGUGGGGAGCAAACAGGAUUAGAUACCCGCGUAGUCCCUGUCUCUUAUAC